rnacentral:rRNA from 1 species
GAUGAACGCUGGCGGCGUGCCUAAUACAUGCAAGUCGAGCGAAUGGAUUAAGAGCUUGCUCUUAUGAAGUUAGCGGCGGACGGGUGAGUAACACGUGGGUAACCUGCCCAUAAGACUGGGAUAACUCCGGGAAACCGGGGCUAAUACCGGAUAACAUUUUGAACCGCAUGGUUCGAAAUUGAAAGGCGGCUUCGGCUGUCACAUAUGGAUGGACCCGCGUCGCAUUAGCUAGUUGGUGAGGUAACGGCUCACAAAGGCAACGAUGCGUAGCCGACCGGGGAGGGUGAUCGGCCACACUGGGGCUGAGACACGGCCCAGACUCCUACGGGAGGCAGCAGUAGGGAAUCUUCCGCAAUGGACGAAAGUCUGACGGAGCAACGCCGCGUGAGUGAUGAAGGCUUUCGGGUCGUAAAACUCUGUUGUUAGGGAAGAACAAGUGCUAGUUGAAUAAGCUGGCACCUUGACGGUACCUAACCAGAAAGCCACGGCUAACUACGUGCCAGCCGCCGCCGUAA